rnacentral:rRNA from 1 species
AAGUCCCGUAACGAGCGCAACCCUCGUCUUUAGUUGCUACCAUUUAGUUGGGCACUCUAAAGAAACUGCCGGUGAUAAGCCGGAGGAAGGUGGGGAUGACGUCAAGUCCUCAUGGCCCUUACGCGCUGGGCUACACACGUGCUACAAUGGCGGUGACAGAGGGCUGCAAACCCGCGAGGGUGAGCUAAUCUCCAAAAGCCGUCUCAGUUCGGAUUGUUCUCUGCAACUCGAGAGCAUGAAGGCGGAAUCGCUAGUAAUCGCGGAUCAGCACGCCGCGGUGAAUACGUUCCCAGGCCUUGUACACACCGCCCGU